rnacentral:rRNA from 1 species
GUGGGGAAUAUUGGGCAAUGGGCGAAAGCCUGACCCAGCAACGCCGCGUGAGGGAAGAAGGUUUUCGGAUUGUAAACCUCUGUCCUUGGUGACGAACACAAUGACGGUAGCCAAGGAGGAAGCCCCGGCUAACUACGUGCCAGCAGCCGCGGUAAUACGUAGGGGGCAAGCGUUGUCCGGAAUGACUGGGCGUAAAGGGCGUGUAGGCGGCCGAUUAAGUCUGGAGUGAAAGUCCUGCUUUCAAGGUGGGAAUUGCUUUGGAGACUGGUUGGCUUGAGUGCGGAAGAGGCAAGUGGAAUUCCCAGUGUAGCGGUGAAAUGCGUAGAGAUUGGGAGGAACACCAGUGGCGAAGGCGACUUGCUGGGCCGUAACUGACGCUGAGGCGCGAAAGCGUGGGGAGCGAACAGGAUUAGAUACCCUAGUAGUCC